AGCUACAGGCUUAACACAUGCAAGUCGAGGGGCAGCAUGAACUUAGCUUGCUAAGUUUGAUGGCGACCGGCGCACGGGUGAGUAACGCGUAUCCAACCUUCCGUACACUCAGGAAUAGCCUUUCGAAAGAAAGAUUAAUACCUGAUGGUAUGAUGAGAUUGCAUGAAAUCAUCAUUAAAGAUUCAUCGGUGUACGAUGGGGAUGCGUUCCAUUAGAUAGUAGGCGGGGUAACGGCCCACCUAGUCAACGAUGGAUAGGGGUUCUGAGAGGAAGGUCCCCCACAUUGGAACUGAGACACGGUCCAAACUCCUACGGGAGGCAGCAGUGAGGAAUAUUGGUCAAUGGGCGAUGGCCUGAACCAGCCAAGUAGCGUGAAGGAUGACGG
rnacentral:rRNA from 1 species